rnacentral:rRNA from 1 species
UGUGACCUCAAAUCAGGUAGGACUACCCGCUGAACUUAAGCAUAUCAAUAAGCGGAGGAAAAGAAACUAACAAGGAUUCCCCUAGUAACUGCGAGUGAAGCGGGAAAAGCUCAAAUUUAAAAUCUGGCAGUCUUUGGCUGUCCGAGUUGUAAUCUAGAGAAGUGUUAUCCGCGCUGGACCGUGUACAAGUCUCCUGGAAUGGAGCGUCAUAGAGGGUGAGAAUCCCGUCUUUGACACGGACUACCAGGGCUUUGUGAUGCGCUCUCAAAGAGUCGAGUUGUUUGGGAAUGCAGCUCAAAAUGGGUGGUAAAUUCCAUCUAAAGCUAAAUAUUGGCGAGAGACCGAUAGCGAACAAGUACCGUGAGGGAAAGAUGAAAAGAACUUUGGAAAGAGAGUUAAACAGUACGUGAAAUUGCUGAAAGGGAAACGCUUGAAGUCAGUCGCGUCGUCCAGGGAUCAACCUUGCUUUUGCUUGGUGCACUUUCUGGUUGACGGGUCAGCAUCAAUUUUGACCAUUGGAAAAAGAUUAAGGGAAUGUGACAUCUUUGGAUGUGUUAUAGCCCUUGGUUGUAUACGAUGGUUGGGAUUGAGGAACUCAGCACGCCGCAAGGCCGGG